rnacentral:lncRNA from 1 species
GUUAAAAUGUCAUAGGUGUAGUACUGCCCCCACCACACAGCUUGGGAUGGGGGUGGAGGGGCAAGUCAUAGGCAGAGAGCCAAAUAAGCUUCCACAGCCAUGUGAUGGCAGAGAAAGCUGGGACAUGUAAUUCAACAGGAUUGAGAUGAACGUGUGAGAAGAGAGUCAUAAGAAACAGUGUUUGGCUAGUAAAGCCUAACAUCCUCCCAUCACCUGUGCUGGACUAGGAAACUCAGGCCACUUAUGCCCUGCGAAGGAAAACCUCUUCACUCGCUCUGUGCACAAAUUAAAUGAGUACUCCUAAGAUACCUGUGAGAAGCAGAGAUUCCGGAGCAGCAUGAGUCACAAUCGGCUUGAGUACUCCAAGGACCCAAGUGAAUGUAAUAGACUAGAUGCCAAGCUACCAUGGAUAUUUUGCCAUGAAUGGAAAUGUCCUUGCUAUUUUCUUGCUUGGGGAGCCAACAAGGGGGUCAACAUAAGAAUCUGGGAUACCACCUACAUAAGGGCGGAAUCGAGAGGAGAAUCACAACCCAGCUCUCAGAGAGCCUGAGAGAGACAAAACCAGAUUUCUCUCUGGUUUUGGGUUCUACACGUGACAGAGGCACCCCCUUGGCUGCAAGUUGCUUGAAAAGUUCCUUCGCAUAGACUGCCAGCAAUCUGACCUCAAGGAUGGAAGAAUACCGAGCCCUAAAGGUUUUUGCAUUUGCUGGAAUCCAAUGAUUAGGCUUAUUCUCUGGUGCUUGAUGAUAUCCAUUUCUAUUUCAAGAUGCUUAAAUCACUCUUUUGUUCAUUCUGCCGUGUAACUAGGGCACAUGCUAAGACUGUUGUUUGGGGUAGGCGUCCUUUCUUUUGGCCUUGUGGAGUCAAACAACCCGCUAAGGAAGGCGUUGGUCAGACUUCUGAUUAGCCCAAUCUCUAGAUGCCCCCAUCUCUAAACCUCAUUUCAGGUACUCAGAAUAGCCUACCCCCCAACAAUGUUAUUUUUUCUUAUCUGACAAGCAUUUAUUUUCUCUCCCUUUUAUAUCCCCUCCCCAAAUGAAAAAAGAAGAAAAACAAAAACCUUGUAAUAAAUAUGCAUGGCUAUGUCUAAAAAUGUUUGUC